GCUAUGCUAUUUGCACAGCACUCUGUGCACAUGGUGUGCAUGUGGGGUCUACCCCCAUGUCUCACACCCUGUGCACAGUGUGCUGUGCAAGGAGAGUUUUCCUUGAAUUAACUCCUCUCUUUCUCUCUCUCCACAACCAAAUGAAAACCUAACAUAAGAAGAAAGGCAAAAUCUGAAAUACGUACCCACUUAGAUCUUCUGCCAAUUUUUCUUCCAUAGUUUGGCUGUUGAGUUUGUAGUUGAGGAUGGAGACGAUGAUGCUAAUGAUGCAGAAGGCAGCGAGACCAAUGAUGGCUCCAAAGAAGACUCAACUAAAGACAGAGCUGCCUCAGUGGACGAUGAUAUACGUGAUGAAAUUUAAGGAGCCUACGUACGGUUGUUUUAACUUUUAAACAAAUUAUAUAAUGUUAUUGUAUUAUGUGUUUAUUUUAUUGUUGAAGUGUAGACGUUCAAGGUAUUUGUAUUGAAGCGUAAUCCGGAGAUUUUGAAGACGGUCAUUUAAUCUGCUGAUUUGGGUCCAAAUAAACCUAUUCAGACUUGUUUCUCACCAUUGAGGCUUGAAGUGUGGUAGAGGUGCUAUGAGUCUACGACCGUGUUACAGUGAGUACAAUAUUUUCAAUGCUUUAAAAAGAUUUUAUUUUCUAUAGUAAUAUAAAUAAAGUUUGGCAUUGAAAUUUGGUUUCUGAAGGAGUAAAAGUUCUGUAAGGAUCCGUUUGAUUGCAAAGAUAGAAUUGAAUUGGGUGGAAAACGAAUUUUAAGGAAUUGAAUUGCCUAGAG